ACUCCUACGGGAGGCAGCAGUAGGGAAUCUUCGGCAAUGGGGGCAACCCUGACCGAGCAACGCCGCGUGAGUGAAGAAGGUUUUCGGAUCGUAAAGCUCUGUUGUAAGAGAAGAACGUGUGUGAGAGUGGAAAGUUCACACAGUGACGGUAACUUACCAGAAAGGGACGGCUAACUACGUGCCAGCAGCCGCAGUAAUA
rnacentral:rRNA from 1 species